rnacentral:tRNA from 1 species
GCAGUGCUGGUUCAGUGGUUGAAUUCCCGUCUUCCACACGGGAGACCCAGGUUCGAAUCCCAGCCGAUGCA